rnacentral:rRNA from 1 species
AUUGAACGCUGGCGGCAGGCCUAACACAUGCAAGUCGAACGGUAACAGGGAUCAGCUCGCUGAUUCGCUGACGAGUGGCGGACGGGUGAGUAAUGUCUGGGAAACUGCCUGAUGGAGGGGGAUAACUACUGGAAACGGUAGCUAAUACCGCAUAACGUCGCAAGACCAAAGAGGGGGACCUUCGGGCCUCUUGCCAUCGGAUGUGCCCAGAUGGGAUUAGCUAGUAGGUGGGGUAACGGCUCACCUAGGCGACGAUCCCUAGCUGGUCUGAGAGGAUGACCAGCCACACUGGAACUGAGACACGGUCCAGACUCCUACGGGAGGCAGCAGUGGGGAAUAUUGCACAAUGGGCGCAAGCCUGAUGCAGCCAUGCCGCGUGUAUGAAGAAGGCCUUCGGGUUGUAAAGUACUUUCAGCGGGGAGGAAGGGAGUAAAGUUAAUACCUUUGCUCAUUGACGUUACCCGCAGAAGAAGCACCGGCUAACUCCGUG